GUGUUGUUUAAUUGGUUUGUUAUGUGCAUAAAUAAUUUCUUAAAAUGGAUAAGUCAUUGGGGAUGUACUCAAUAAAAAUUCUGCGUAAUGCAAAUCGCAAAAGCAAAGUAUGGGAGUUUUUUGGCAUCUUGCAAGUGACAACGACAACCGAAAGCAAAUGCAUUGAAGAGGACAAGGUUUUUUGUAAAUUAUGUUUGGAUGAGCAGAAAAAGAACGACGAAACAAUAAUAUUGUCAUGUGCUAAAAUUCAGUCGUAUUCCAAGAACUGCUCAACAGGGAACUUAACUCGUCACCUUAAAAACGAACACAAUGUUCGCGAUAUCGAUUCUAGUACUUCAUUAGCUACAGGUGGAACGAUAUCAAAUUUUUUCAACAAAUCCACGCCAAUAAGGUCUCUAAGAGAUAGUAAAUGGGCGCUGGGACGAGAGCUAGCUUUGUGGAUGGCUAGAGAUCUGCUCCCAUUUCAUACAAUUAGCCACAAUGGAAUUAAAAACUUCUUAACCAAAUAUAAAGUUGUGGUAACUGCUGAUGAUAUUCCACAUUACAAAACACUUUCAACAACUGCACUAGACGAUGUGUAUGAAUGCGUUUUAAAAGCAGUUACACGGAUAGUAUCUGGACAAAAACACUUUGCCUUAACCUUUGAUUUGUGGACGGACAAUUAUAGAAGAAGAAGUUAUAUCACAUUUACAUUCCAUUAUCUGUCACCGAAUUUUGGUAUGAAGCAUUUCACGCUGGAAACAAAAUACUUGUCAAAAUCUCACUCCGCAAGUAAUAUUUUAACAGAGCUUCAAGAUGUAACUCAAAUUUAUAAUUUGCAAAUGGAAUCUAAUUUCGUCGUAACCGACCAAGGUAGCAAUAUCAAAAAAGCUAUUAAUUUGGAGUGUUUA